rnacentral:rRNA from 1 species
AGUGAACGCUGGCGGUAGGCCUAACACAUGCAAGUCGAACGGCAGCACAGUAAGAGCUUGCUCUUACGGGUGGCGAGUGGCGGACGGGUGAGGAAUACAUCGGAAUCUACUUUUUCGUGGGGGAUAACGUAGGGAAACUUACGCUAAUACCGCAUACGACCUACGGGUGAAAGCAGGGGAUCUUCGGACCUUGCGCGAUUGAAUGAGCCGAUGUCGGAUUAGCUAGUUGGCGGGGUAAAGGCCACCAAGGCGACGGUCCGUAGGUGGUCUGAGAGGAUGAUCAGCCACACUGGAACGGAGACACGGUCCAGACUCCUACGGGAGGCAGCAGUGGGGAAUAUUGGACAAUGGGCGCAAGCCUGAUCCAGCCAUACCGCGUGGGUGAAGAAGGCCUUCGGGUUGUAAAGCCCUUUUGUUGGGAAAGAAAAGCAGCAGGUUAAUACCCCGCUGUUCUGACGGUACCCAAAGAAUAAGCACCGGCUAACUUCGUG